GUUUUUACUACAAUAUGUGAAUCAGUAAGUAAUCUAUCAUGUUUACAGGUAAUUAGGGUGUUAGGGUGCUUAGAACAUCCAUUUAAUACUGUGGAGGAAAUGGUGAUGAAUGAAUGAUUAGAAUUUACACAGCUAUUUAGUUACUAUUUAGUUACAGAGAUGCACAAUUAGGAAUUUCCUCCAUAACUGUAAACACUAAAUUCAAUAGUCGGAG